GGGCUCCAGGAAGAUCUGCCUCCCCAAAACCUGGAAACAAGACGGUUCUUUAAGAAUAAAAAUCUACGUGGGGCUUGAGGCCAAGAACAGCCCUUGUUGCCACGAACAUGGAGACUUUGUAGCAUGUCCCGUUCUUAGUGCUUGAGUGUCCCAACCUUAAGCUGACUAAGCCACCCUGGCUGCACAUGCAGCAGCCAUGACUGUGUAUGCUGUGGUGGUGGUGUCUUCCUCAUGACUGGAGGAAUAAUUAUAUGAUAUUGUUGACCCCCCAAGUAUUGGCUGAUGAACGUGGGCCUCAAAGGCCAGUAGCUUUCUUGGCCUGCAGAGUAAAUGGACAGUAUAUUAUGGAAAGACUUGCAUACAGCUUCCUGUUUACAAUGGGAGGUUUAGGUUUCAUAAUCCUGGACCAGUCAAAUGCACCAAAUAUCCCAAAACUCAAUCGAUUUUUUUCUUCUAUUCAUUGGAUUCGUCUGUGUCCUACUGAGUUUUUUCAUGGCUGGAGUAUUCAUAUGAAUGAAACUGCCGGGCUAUCUGAUGGGUUAGAGUGCCUUUGAGAAGACAUCAGUGGAUACUGGAUUUGUUCCUGUCAAUGAAGUUUUACAGGCUGUACCAAUCCUCCAGUAUGAAAUGUCGGAAAGAAUGAAGAGCGGCAGUAAAAGAAAUACCUAGCGAAAAACACAGGAAGCAUAUUGAAGCUUGGACUAGAAUUUCUUCUUGGUAUCAGAGAGACAAGUUUAUCACAGUAUUUUUUUUUCCCUGCUGACCUAUUGAUAAUACCAACAGUGUUGAGUGGCAUUUUUUUUCUUAGUUUUUAAUUUCUUAAAGAAAAUAUACUCCAUAGCUUCAAGAAAAAAAAAAAAAGAAUAAAAAUCCACACCUGAGAACAGAUCCAUACAACCUGCUUACAAAGAACAGCUCCUGUGCUACCUGAGGCUGAUUUAUUUGAAGAACAAAAGGAAGACAAUUUAGUGUAAACAAGUGCUAUUCAGUGAACUUUCUGCAGCAGUGGCAAUAUCCAUAAAUCUGCACUGUCCAACCAAACUAGCCACAGAUAGCUGCUGAGCAAUUGAAAUGAAGUUGGCACAACUAAGGAACUGAAGUUCUUAUUUUAAUUCAACUUCAAAUGGUCACAUGUCACUAGUGACUACCACACUGGACAGUGCAGGUAUAGAUGGAGCUCACAUCAGAGUCUUGAAACUUAAUGGCUCUAACCUUAGGCAAGUUAUGUAACAUCUAAGCCUCAAUCCCUCCAAGUAGAAUGGGGAUAGCCAUUGCACCUAAAUCAUAGGGUUGUCCUAUUGUCUUGAGCAACAUUAUGUAAAGCACUUAGCCCACAGCCUACCACAUAGUUAUCUAGAGUUGGGAACAUCACCGCUGGUUUGCAUGUCCAGACCCUACCCGGGAGAAGGGCCUAGCCUAUGAUUUUGGAACUCUCAGUUGUAGGUUUGCAUGUUUCAGCUAACACUCCACUCUGAGUGCAGGCUCAUCAGGACACCAUACGGUUGUAAAUUGGCUUCCAUGUCCCAGUCCUGGCUUUUGAGGGUCAGUUCUCUCCUUACGAACAAAUUAGCAGACUCUGGGCUUGUAAGAUCAAGGAGUACUGCACCGCCGCCCCCGCCCGGCCCAGAUUUGAUCUGAUUGACUUUGGCUUCCACCUACUGUUUAAAAUGUGUAUGUUGGAGUAGGGACAGCACAGGGGAGGGGGUUACUUUCCUGACUCUAGCCCAGGACAUUUGGUGUUUUUGAAUAGGCACCGUUCAGCCUGGCUUCAGUUUUAGGAAUCAGGUACUCUUUUUAUUCCAUCCUCUAUGGAGACAAAAAGCUGCUCCUCCUUUGAGUACUGACCUACAUAGAUUUCCAUUUCUUUCUUCAGCCUCAGGCCAAACAACUGGACAGGGCAGUAGAACAAGGCUGUCUCCUCAGGAUCCUGCCAAAGGCACUGUCCUCUCCAACCUGGAUCCAGCCCCACUUGCCCUUACUGGUUGCUUACACCCAGAGUGCACACUCACAGGAAAGGGGCUCUGCUGGCUGCAGGUGAUCAUCUUGUCCCUUCUUUGCCUUAGUGUGUGUUAUUGCUAUUUCAAUGUCAGUGUUUUUGUUGUUGUUGUUGU